rnacentral:rRNA from 1 species
UGAGGGAAUAUUGGGUCAAUGGGCGAGAGCCUGAACCAGCCAAGUCGCGUGAGGGAAGACGGUCCUACGGAUUGUAAACCUCUUUUGUCGGGGAGUAAUAGGCGGGACGUGUCCUGCUGUGAGAGUACCCGAAGAAAAAGCAUCGGCUAACUCCGUGCCAGCAGCCGCGGUAAUACGGAGGAUGCGAGCGUUAUCCGGAUUUAUUGGGUUUAAAGGGAGCGUAGGCCGUCUUAUAAGCGUGUUGUGAAAUGUCGGGGCUCAACCUGGGCAUUGCAGCGCGAACUGUGAGACUUGAGUGCGCAGGAAGUAGGCGGAAUUCGUCGUGUAGCGGUGAAAUGCUUAGAUAUGACGAGGAACUCCGAUUGCGAAGGCAGCCUGCUGUAGCGCAACUGACGCUGAAGCUCGAAAGCGUGGGUAUCGAACAGGAUUAGAUACCCUGGUAGU